UACGUAGGGGGCAAGCGUUAUCCGGAAUUAUUGGGUGUAAAGGGUGCGUAGACGGGAUAACAAGUUGGUUGUGAAACCCCUCGGCUCGACUGAGGAACUGCAACCAAAACUAUUAUUCUUGAGUGCAGGAGAGGAAAGUGGAAUUCCUAGUGUAGCGGUGAAAUGCGUAGAUAUUAGGAAGAACACCGGUGGCGAAGGCGACUUUCUGGACUGUAACUGACGUUGAGGCACGAAAGUGUGGGGAGCAAACAGG
rnacentral:rRNA from 1 species